GACGAACGCUGGCGGCGUGCUUAACACAUGCAAGUCGAACGGAAAGGCCCUGCUUUUGUGGGGUGCUCGAGUGGCGAACGGGUGAGUAACACGGGAGUAACCUGCCCUUGACUUUGGGAUAACUUCAGGAAACUGGGGCUAAUAACGGAUAGGAGCUCCUGCUGCAUGGUGGGGGUUGGAAAGUUUCGGCGGUUGGGGAUGGACUCGCGGCUUAUCAGCUUGUUGGUGGGGUAGUGGCUUACCAAGGCUUUGACGGGUAGCCGGCCUGAGAGGGUGACCGGCCACAUUGGGACUGAGAUACGGCCCAGACUUCUACGGGAGGCAGCAGUGGGGAAUAUUGCACAAUGGGCGGAAGCCUGAUGCAGCAACGCCGCGUGCGGGAUGACGGCCUUCGGGUUGUAAACCGCUUUCGCCUGUGACGAAGCGUGAGUGACGGUAAUGGGUAAAGAAGCACCGGCUAACUACGUG
rnacentral:rRNA from 1 species